rnacentral:rRNA from 1 species
ACGGAGGGUGCAAGCGUUAAUCGGAAUCACUGGGCGUAAAGCGCACGUAGGCGGCUUGGUAAGUCAGGGGUGAAAUCCCACAGCCCAACUGUGGAACUGCCUUUGAUACUGCCAGGCUUGAGUACCGGAGAGGGUGGCGGAAUUCCAGGUGUAGGAGUGAAAUCCGUAGAUAUCUGGAGGAACAUCGGUGGCGAAGGCGGCCACCUGGACGGUAACUGACGCUGAGGUGCGAAAGCGUGGGUAGCAAACAG